ensembl:lncRNA
GAAAAUUGAUAAAAUAAAUUACAAAUGUUGUAUUGUUCGAUACAUAUGCGUACCGAACCGAAAGCACUGUAUCGAACGGUUCAAUAUCGAUACGAAUAUCGUUGCACCCCUACUAAACGGGUUUGAGUGAAAAAUGACCUUAAUGUUAAACCCAACAGCUUCCUCAUUAUUUUUUACACUGUUUAAACUGGCUGCUGUCAUUGUGAGCCAGGGAUGAAGUCACUGUUAAGCUCCACUGGCUUUGUUCAUUGAGUACAUGUCCACCGGCAGCCCAAUCAGAGAUGGCAGUGACUCGGCCUUUCCGUGGCGAGAGCCUGAUGAAACCAAAUGAAAUAAGCCUGUCAAAGUCAGCCACAUGAUUUCUUUCUUCUUCUUUUUUUUAAGUCACAGCUCCACCCGUUCUGCCUCUUCAUCCCAUCAUUCCUUGACACAAACAUGGCACAGAUGAGAGCGACAGGAACUGGCAGAGAAGUCAUUUUUCCACAGUUUUCUUUUUUCUUUUUUUCAGAGCAAGUAUUCAGUGUGUCUAGAAGGAAAUGGAGAUUCAUUUUAUGGAUGUAAGAGAUGCAGAUAAAAUAGCUGUGCCUGUGAACAUCUUCUCAAAUCACUCAAAAAAUUGUUUAGGUAUAAUAUUAUCAUCAGAACAUAUUGAGCCCUUCAUGGUAAUAUAUAUCCCUUCAGGGACAGAUUUGUACUUUUCUCAUUUCAAUCGAUUUCAUUCAUCAUAUAGUAACGGUAAAUGAGGAGAAAAUGGAGGCCCAACAUGUCUUGGCAAUGUUAUUCACAUAAUGUGCCCUGCAAGGCUUCAAGUCACAUCACGCGCAGGACAUAUCUCACACGCACUGACGCACACUGAACAUCUGCAGGCCACAACCACCAUUUAAACUGAAAUCCAGCCACAUACCAUAUCCAGCUGUCCGCAGUACAUCUAAACAAAACAAGUUCAUUUGUAUCAAACUUACUUGCAUUUGUCUGAAAUGUAGAGCAUAGAGAAAUCACCCUAAAACCUUAAUACAAGCAAGGUGGAUUUCAUGCUUUCAUGUCCUUUAUACCAAAUUCUGACACUACAGUCCAAACAUAACAGCCUCAUCAGGCCAGGCCACAUUUUUUCAAUCUCCUGUUGUCUAGUUUUGGUGAGCCC